rnacentral:rRNA from 1 species
CCCUUAGAUGUUCUGGGCUGCACGCGCGCUACACUGAUGCACUCAACGAGUUUACGACCUUGCCCGAUAGGGUUGGGUAAUCUUUUUAAAAUGCAUCGUGAUGGGGAUAGAUUAUUGCAAUUAUUAAUCUUCAACGAGGAAUUCCUAGUAAGCGCGAGUCAUCAGCUCGUGCUGAUUACGUCCCUGCCCUUUGUACACACCGCCCGUCGCUCCUACCGGUUGAGUGCUCAGGUGAAUAAUUCGGACUGCAGCAAUGUUUGGAUCCCGAACGUUGCAGCGGAAAGUUUAGUGAACCUUAUCACUUAGAGGAAGGAGAAGUCGUAACA